rnacentral:sRNA from 1 species
AUUGUCACGCAGUUUUCAUUAUCGGCUGGUAAAAGACACCCACCUCGCCAUUGACCACGGAUGUACUGGCACUGGCUGAAGGUGAUGAGAAGGUCGGGUUCAGCCCGGCCUUUUUUGUU